UACGAAGGGUGCAAGCGUUAAUCGGAAUUACUGGGCGUAAAGGGUGCGUAGGCGGUUCGUUAAGUCUGUCGUGAAAUCCCCGGGCUUAACUUGGGAAUUGCGCUCGAAACUACUUUGCUGGAGUGUGGCAGAGGAAGGUGGAAUUCCACGUGUAGCGGUGAAAUGCGUAGAGAUGUGGAGGAACACCAAUGGCGAAGGCAGCCUUCUGGGCCAACACUGACGCUCAUGCACGAAAGCGUGGGGAGCAAACAGG
rnacentral:rRNA from 1 species